rnacentral:lncRNA from 12 species
GGCAAGUAGCAAUUAGGCCCCUCUUCUAAACGUCAGACCUGAGCCUUUUAAUCCUAAAGACUGAAGAGGGGCUUUUUUUAUAAAUCUUGGUCUCGAUAUUCCAACAUUUGUUGAUGAGUAUUUUCUAUUCGAACCUUAACCUCACACUGUUAAUUAAAGAUAAAAGUCUGUAUUAAGUAAGGGUCACCCCCAAACAAGUCGCGAAAUAUAUUUAGGAAGGGCUCCCAUCGUAUUGUCAAAUCUGUCCGGUACUUUGGGUUUUUUUUCCCCCAAACACGUUUGAAAGGUAGCAACCACCACAAAAGCCCACCGAGGGAAGCAGAGUAUAUCUGGCAAAUCUGGAGGCUUCUGACACUGCUCAGCACUUUAAAGUCGUUUAUUAAGAGAAUGCAGACGGGCCUUGCUCAUUUUGUUAAUGGCAAACUAGAAACUCCGUUAUGGCUUCUCUGGAUUCUCUUGCGGAAUCUUAUAAUCCCCUCUUUUCGGCCAGAGCUGGUGAUUUAAGUGUCCCUCCCCUUCCCAACCGCGGAAAGGCAGCAUUUAUUCGCCCCACUUUAAAUCCUCGUGGAAGGGAUUGUGUGCGGUUCAUCCUGCGUGAGACGCCCCGAGGAAAGCGCAGCAGCCCUCGAUGUGAAGAGACCGGCUCGCCCGCCGCAGAGCGAGGACCUCCUGAGAAAAUAGGAGAAAGUUCGACUCCUCUGAAAUUAUUCAAAGUCCUCAUUUCUUUGCCUACAGAACCUUUUUUUUUUUUUUUAUUUCGGUGCUUCUUAAACCGCGUUCUCGAUUGCUCCAGAACCUGCAUGGUUUUCACAGGCUUUUUAUUUCCGUCCCCAUCGCCAGCAGAUGCAGGGUUUGGGUCAAGACUGCUGCCCUCUGAACUAAAAGGCAGUAGGAUGGAGCCAUCGACUACCAAGAUCUUCGGGCCUCUCCAACAUCGCGACCCUUGCCUCUUCAUCAGAAAAUAGCAGUGCGCGUUCGUUCCCUUUGCUUCCUGUUAGCCGCUGCUGCAUGGGAAGAGAAGGUGGUUGUUCUGAGCGGGGGUCCCCCCUCCCCAGGCGCUCUGUGCCCGCACUUCCGUUUAAUAAAUAGCGACCUACCUUCCUCCUAGAGGAGGAA